rnacentral:lncRNA from 1 species
GAGUCGAACCGUAAGCAUCCUUGAGUCCUGAAACGGCGUCGUAUUUUCCUGUGAGUAAAAAUUCCUCGAGGAUUGCCACGUGUCCGCCUCUUGCAGCACUGUGGACCCCUCUUUUAACCAUCUCCUGCUUUACUAUUAACUGUUUCUCGGUUAGUUUCUCCCCGUCGGUUUCUUCGACGCCGGCAAUAUCAGCCGGCAGCAAAGCGAAAUCAAGAAGAAGACGAAAAACGUCGUCGUUUCUACCUCUCGCCGCCGCGUAGAGAAUAUCGGUUACGCCGUAUUCUCCUUCUCCGAACACGAGAAGCGGAUCUCUCUCAAGAAGCUUCUUCACGAAUUCCAAAUCUCCGGCGGAAGCAGCGGUGUAUAACAGCCAGCCUCCGUAUCCUGCUCUGACGAGGGAAUUGUCUCCGUUUCCGAUUUCGCACUCUUCCAACAGUCUCCUCGCGACGCGGGAGCGGUUUAACGCCACGUGGCAGUUAUCUCCGUCUCCGUCGUCCCAGACUGUUUCGAGGCGGCGGAUACGGCGGAGGGAAGUGAGUUUGACGAGGAGGUUUGUGUCUUGAUGAAGCAGCUCGAUGACGACGUCGUAUAGUCCAUUCGCGGCGGCGCAAUCGAUUGGUGAAGCGUACCACCACUGGUCUCCGGUGCUUUCCCACCGGAGAGGAAAUAUCGGCGGUGGCAUUUUCCUUAUCCGGUUU